GUGGCUGGCUGUUACCGGGGCAACCAGAGGGGCUUGGCGGUUAUCCGCGGUUUGGCGCCGUUAGCUGGACAGUCUGAGACGCUCAGAGGCCAUGUGGGAUGAGCGAAGAGGGAAGAAGGGCCCUUUCAGGAGACAGUUGUCCUGUCAGGUUAUCUAGUCGUGCCCUAGGCGGGAGCGCCACCUCUGAGAAUCUGGGUCACGACCCCCUUCUUCUUUCAGCCUUUCGGCCAAAUGAAGUAGCCCAGCGGCUCCUGACUGUCAUUUCUUUACUUUACUUUUCUGCCUCCUCUCAGAAAAUCAACAAAGACAGCAUUGAAGACCUUAAUGUAAAUCAUCUGUAAUGAGUUGAAGAAACAGGGAUGAAGUGGACGCAGCAUGUGAAGACAAUUCUUUCAAGAAGUUUGGCCGUAAAGGAGAAGAGAAAGGGGACACGGGUUUGAGCCCUAAUCCGGGAAGAUCCCACAUCCGCGGAG